UACAGAGGGUGCAAACGUUGCUCGGAAUCAUUGGGCGUAAAGCGCACGUAGGCGGCCCGAUAAGUCGGUAGUGAAAGCCCUCGGCUUAACCGAGGAAGUGCUAUCGAAACUGCCAGGCUUGAAUACCGGAGAGGAUCGCGGAAUUCCCGGUGUAGAGGUGAAAUUCGUAGAUAUCGAGUGGAACACCGGUGGCGAAGGCGGCUUUCUGGACAGGUACUGACGCUGAGACGCGAAAGCGUGGGGAGCAAACAGG
rnacentral:rRNA from 1 species